UUUUAUAGGAAUGAAAAGUUAUGAAUGGGGCUUAGUUGAAAUGCAAGGAAGGAGCUAAACUAAUCUUGACAUUUAUUAGGUAUGAAAAGUUAUGAAUGGGGCUUAGUUGAAAUGCAAGGAAGGAGCUAAACUGAUCUUGACAUUUAUUAGGAAUGAAAAGUUAUGAAUGGGGCUUAGUUGAAAUGCAAGGAAGGAGCUAAACUAAUCUUGACAUUUAUUAGGUGUGUAUAUUUAUG